rnacentral:sRNA from 1 species
GGGCAAUCAAGUUUGGUGUGACACGUCGCGCCACCUGGUCCAAAAUAUUUCCAACACUGAGAAGGCUCUUUCGGCAGCUGUGCCUGAUCGUGUGGGUCGAGACUCGCUUCCUCGGCGUUAAUUUAAAAGUUGUCUGGUUUCCCUGGCUUUCGAUACGCCUUCAGUUGUCGCGUGCGAUCCCGGAUGCCUCCGCAGAAGACCAAGCGUCGAAGGGCAUCGAGCGUUCGGUAUUGUUGCGUGAAGGGCUGUCACAACCGAGAAGGCCUAGCUGGUGUCAAGCUCCACAGGUUCCCGUCGCGGCCCUGGGAACAAGCACGCCGCCAGCGAUGGAUAAAUGCCGUAAGGCGUGUAAACGAUGACGGUUCAAACUGGAGUCCGAACGAGAGCUCCAGGAUAUGCUCAACUCAUUUCCUGAACAACGAACUCAGCAAUAUCGAGAACCACCCUGGUUACUACCCAACGCUGUUCCCAGAAGUGUACCGGAAGAAGUCUGUGGAUCCUGAGGCUCAACUUGGAAGGUUCAGCAGGUGGCAGGAGCGAUCAGCAUGUUCAGGUGCCUCAGCUGCAGGAUCUUCAGGACUACCAUCUACAGGUGGUACCAGCCCAGUGCCUUCUGAGCAUGAUUCAGAUUCCAGUGGAAGCCCACAACGGGGGUUGGAGCUGCUGUGUGAAGCUGUAGAACUUCGAGAGAAGUGUUCAGUGGAGAUCCAGACCGAUGAACUCGGUACUUGCAGUCGAGGCUUCACAGUCUUCACGUGCUCCCUCGAAGGCGGCGCUGGUUGCACACAGAUCACACAUCGCGAGGUCUGCGACUUUGGGACACAGCACCAGCCAGAGUUGUCUUCAAAGUAUUCAGGUCCAAGCGAGAGGACCAGUUUCUUCGGAGGUUACGAGAGCAUCCGACAUUCGGAGGAUGCAUUACAAGGCAUUUGCAAUGUAAGCAUGAGUGUAUUUGCUUUGUUUUUGAGCAUGUUGCCCCUUGUCACCGAGCGGAGCUGUGAUGUAACGCUGGGGAACCGGCUGCUCCUCUUUCUCAUGAAAAUGAAGCUCGGGUUGAGCUACACUGCUCUUGGUGUGAUUUUUAGUGUCGAUAGAACUACAGCAUCGCGCCACUUCCGAGCUGUGCUGACAACGUUGACUGCUGCGACAGCGAGGUGGAUUUUUCGGCCUCCCUCUAGCAUUAUUCGAGCUACGUUGCCAGAGUGUUUUAAAGUCAACUACCCUGAAUGCAAAAUGAUCAUUGAUUGCACCGAAGUAAGAACAGAGGAGCCAAGUAGUGUUGGCCAGCAGCGCGUGCUGUACUCGAGCUACAAGAGUGGCUACACUCUCAAGUUUCUGGUCGCUGUAACCCCUAAUGGGGCUAUUUGUUUCCGUUCGAAGGCAUACGGAGGCCGAUGCUCCGACAUCCAUGUUACGGUGGACUCUGCAGGUUCUUAAACAUUGUGCAGCCGGGAGACGUAAUUCUGGCUGACAAAGGUUUUCCGGGCAUCAGGGCAGGUCUGGCAGACACCGAUGCGGUGCUCGUGAUGCCACCUUUUUUAUCGGGGAAUGGACAGUUUAGUGAGCAAGAAGUGCGCGACACUUAUGACAUUGCCCAGGUCCGAAUUCACGUGGAGCGUAUGAUACAGCGAAUUAAGAUAUACAAUAUCCUCAGGACAACGGUGCCCAUUACUCUGAUCCCCCUGAUGGAUGAUGUUUUCCACAUGUGCUGUGUGCUGGCAAAUUUGCAACCUGCCAUCAUCAAGCCACAGGAAUAAGCGGCAGUAUGUGUAGGCCCAUUCAGACGAAUGGCAAGGCUUGGUAUGUGGCUCCAAUUUCUCGUAUGGGGGUCGACUCUUCCUGGGUACCAGCGUAGGCUCCAACGAGCUUGAGUAUCACUUAGAGCGGUAAACCGCAACCCAGGGCCUACAAUGGAAAUGGCACCCCCCCCCCCC